rnacentral:rRNA from 1 species
CCUACGGGUGGCAGCAGUGAGGAAUAUUGGUCAAUGGGCGCCAGCCUGCACCAGCCAAGUAGCGUGAAGGAUGACUGCCCUACGGGUUGUAAACUUCUUUUAUAAAGGAAUAAAGUGAGGCACGUGUGCCUUUUUGUAUGUACUUUAUGAAUAAGGAUCGGCUAACUACGUGCCAGCAGCCGCGGUCAUACGGAGGAUCCGAGCGUUAUCCGGAUUUAUUGGGUUUAAAGGGAGCGUAGAUGGGUUGUUACGUCAGUUGUGAAAGUUUGCGGCUCAACCGUAAAAUUGCAAUUGAUACUGGCAGCCAUGAGAACAGUUGAGGUAGGCGGAAUUCGUGGUGUAGCGGUGAAAU